AGUAGUAGUAGUAGUAGUAGUAGUAGUUGUUGUUGUUGUUGUUGUUGUUGUGGCUGUUGUAAUAGUAGUAGUAGUUUUGCAGAAAUAGUAGUAGUAGUAGUAGUAGUACUAGUAGUAGAAGUAAUAGUAGUAACUUUCAAAGCAAUGUCUACAAGUUUAAAUUCUUUAACCCUGUUCAAGGUGUAUACACACUCAAUAUUUAACUACAGUCCAGGUUUGCAAUUAACAAACUAUCUGAUAAACCUGUGUGUGAGUCAGAUAUGUCUGCUGCUAAUCUAUUGGUUAUAAAAUAUCACAGCCUUUUCUGAUUGGCUGAGUUCAAAUACAGAAAGUUUACCUGUUAGAUUGAAAUUCUGGCGUAUUGUAGAAAACUUGCAGGUUAAACUUGUUGUUAAAAUGAAGUUAAUGUAAUGUUCACAAACAGUAGAGUUAAUGAGUUUUUCCAUUAACAAGAAUUUCUUAAAAUAAUAAUGUAUGGAUAUCAUUUGGAAAGUGACAUGAAAUGUUGUUAAAAAGUGAUGCAUACAAGUGUUUCAGAAGUCUGUCUAGGAAUAGAACAACAACUGAAGCUGACCAGUUGAUGGAAGAUACUGCAGAGUUUGGCAGGGAAAUAACCCAAGACAGCAAAGCGGCUCUUUUGGCGCAUUUACCAAGAGGACUAACAUGGCCACAAAUUCAUGAGAUCAUGCAGGAGCCGUACAGUAUAACAGCAGUACAAGUUCUAUAAAAGAUCCACGACCUACUGAAGCCCAGCUAAUUAACAAAAAAGUUUUUAAAAACUGUAAUUUUAUCCCACCUGGGUACUUAUAAUUUACUAAGCUGCCUUCACAAGUUUUAGACUUGCAAUUAUAUUUUAAACUGUCACUUGGAAAGUAAUACAUGUACAUGCAUUAUGUUCUGAAUUUCUUUGAACAAUAAAAUUAUAUAAAAGUAUUUUAAUGAAAUUGAGCACCUAAAUUGCAUUAAAGUGAAAGUAGCUGAGAAAAAUAGUAUCCUUGUGCUCAUGGGCAGCUACAUGUAUUGUGACAAACAUGAAGUAGCUAAAAUAACUUAAAUUUUUCAUUUUGUUUCUUGUAUAUUGUUUGUACAGGGUUCGUGAAUUGUUACUGUAUAUUAUUUGACUUGCUUGUAUUUUGUUACUUUGAAUACAUGUUGUUAAGGUUGCAUUAUACUUUUUAACUUUUAAAGUUGGCCUGUUCUGUUAUGUAAGGGCCUGAUUUAUGAUAAUGGACCUAGAGGCUUUGUAAGCAUGUAUUAGACAACACUUGUUUGAUCUGAAUAAUUUGUUAAAUAAAUGUAACACAAUUUGUAAUCUGAUGUUAUAUUUUGAUGAAUUGUGAACAAAAUAAUACAUCGAAGAAACUAA